GUUAUGGCGUUCAGAAGAACUUGUCAAAUGGCGGCGGUGGUGUGGUCAGCUCUGGCGUCUCUACAACCACCAGAUCCCAAGCUGAUGAUUCGUAUAAGAAAGACUACAAGUUCCUGGUCUCUGACAAGGAGAACGCUCCAGUCAAGAGGGAUGCAGAGAUGCUCAUUUUGGCUAAAGACAGCGGGAAGCAUUUCACCAGCAGCAGCGUUCAGAUGGGAGGAGGUGAGUCAGCUCCUUCCUGCACCGCCUCUGGAGAAACAUUACAUGGAGUCCCUCAACUGUUUUUUUCAUUUUUUUUUACAGACAAUUUUGUCACUUCUGUAGGUUGUAAAGCAUUUUUAAACAGAGUACAACCAUUGUGUUUUAAAUAAUAGCAUCCCAUGCAGACUUGAUAUUGGUCGCUUGGAGGCAGUUAGUAGACAGUCCUGAUCCCAUUAUUAAACUGUCUCAGCAUUGAUCCAACAUUUCUGUUUGCAUGGACAACCUGAUCAUAAUUCAAAUAAACCUUUAGAGUUGUUCUAAUGGUUAAAUGUAACAGAUCAUUUUAAUUAGAACUGAAACUGAAAUAUUAUCGUUAUUACCUGUAUGUAUUUGUUGUGCACCAAAAAAACAUGUUAUAUUUAUUCUCUUUCAUCGUUCCUCUUCCUUUUUAAACUGAAGACAUUUGCUUGAUUACUUAUUUUCAUUUUAUUCCCAUUUACUUGUUUGUCUUUGUUGAUAAAACCCUCUCUGCGUUGUGAAUUCAUGUAUCGUAUCACAAUAAAUAUUUAGUAAUAUUGUGUAUUCUCUUGUUCUUAAAUGGCUACGUACUUGCAACAAGGUUCUCCUUGUUAAAAACCACAAUGAACAGUGCAAUAAACGUACUGUUUUAAAUAAAUGCUUCUAAUUUUACAGGGUCGAUAUCAGGAGAUUCAAUGAUGAAAGAGAAGCUUAUUUCAAGCUACAGUGAGACAAUGCCACUGAAGACAGAGAAAGGCAACUCCUACUAUGGUUCAUCUGGAGUUGUAAUGAAAGACAAAGCCACCUAUGCAGAGAUUCACAAGGAGAACGGCAUCUUCGGAGGGGGAGGACUGUGCUGCUGCUCCGACGCCUGUUGCUCUUGGUGGAAAUGGCUGCUGGGUCUCCUCCUCCUCUCCCUGCUCCUGCUGGGGCUCCUGUUUGGGCUCAUUGCACUGGCUGAAGACGUGAGAUCGCUGAAGAAUCGAGUGUCUACGCUGGAGGCCGAGUCCUCGGUGGCUGCCGCUCGUACAAGCCGGUUCUCCGCUUCCUCCAAUGACAUCAACACCUUCGGGGCAGCCGGAGCCGGAGGUGCCGCGCACUCUGACAACGUGCUGCACGUCAACGCUGGAGGUGGAGGCUCAACCUCCAAAACUCGAAUCGGCAUUGCAGCCGGGGCUGCCGGCUCGUCUGCCGGAAACGGCGUCGACGUCAUCGUCGGAGCCGGUUCCGCUGGCAACGGUGGGGCCGGCGGGUCCAUCGGGGGCGGUGCUGCAGGCGGCGGUGCUGCAGGCGGCGGUACCAGCUUUAGUGGCAGUUCAGGCAGCAGUGGCAGUACUGGUACCAGUUCCAGCAGAAGUUCUGGCAGUUUUGCCAGUUCUGGCAGUUCUAACAGUUUUGGCAGUUCUGGCAGUUCUGGCAGUUCUGGCGGUGCUGGCGGUGCUGCCAGUGCUGGCGGCACCAGCUUCAGUGCCACUGAUCUGGGGACGGGAGUAAGCAGAGGACAAAUAGACGCUGCCGCUCUUCAGAUGACAAUCCAGCAGAUGUUGAGAAGUGAAAUGAAUUCACAGUCAUACAGAGCUUUUAUAGCGUCAUCGGUGCAGGGAGAGCGAGGACUGCCUGGACCUAAAGGGGACUCUGGAUUUAAAGGAGAUUCUGGUUUCCCUGGACUUCCAGGUGAGCAAUGAUGACAUGUCCAUUGAGUCAAUAGCUUUUUUUUUUUGCCAUUGCAUCAUAAUGUAAUUUUACUGCCUGUGACCUUUGACCUCAGGUGCUCCGGGUGCAACUGGACGUGCCGGCCCUGAAGGUCCAAAAGGACAGAAAGGAAGCCAAGGUGCAGAGAGAGCUUGCGUUGAAACUAAAUCCUGAAAGUUCACUGUUUUAGGUGCAAAUAGUGAAUGAUUUUAUCUUGUGUGAGAUCAGGUGAUCACGGACUGGACGGCGCACCGGGCGUCAGGGGUCGCGAGGGUCCUGCUGGCUCCAGAGGUGAACCAGGACCUUCAGGCUUUGGAUCGAAAGGUGAAAGAGGUAUGACUCAGACUCUCAGCAUCAACACAGUAAUUGUGUGUAUCAGAAAACACUAAUGGGUCCCAGUUCCUCUUAAGUGUGUCACUGCAGUAUCUCAUGUUUGUUUCAUGCAGGAGCCCCCGGGGAUCCUGGGCCCGUCGGCCCGACUGGACAAAAAGGUGCGAUCAUUUUUACAUUUCUCAUUGUUACUUAAAAAUCUAGUUGUUUGUUGCGUUUUUCAUUUAUUUUAGUCUUUAAUUUCAUCCUCAAUGGAAUCAUAGGAUCCAUCACAGUCGCUAAAUUAAGUCAAAGAGAUUUAAACUACAUGUUAACAUAAAAUGAAUAGAAACAAUAAUGAAAAAAAAGACAACUAAGCAAAUUGAGUCAUUGUAAAUAAAAUAAGUACAACCACAUAUACAUUUAUUUUUUAUUUUACUUGCUGACAAAAGAUGCACUGGAACAUUUCAUUACCUCAUUGUGUGUGAACACCAUGCGGCAGCAGGUGGCGGCAAAGCCUCCAUAUUGUUCUGUGAAGAGCAAAAACAAGCUCUACCUCGAGGUAGACACAGUAGUUAGGAAGGUUUUUUAUCUUCAUUUACUGUAUUGGAAUUACUCAUAUUUUUGAUAACAUUAGUUACAUUAACAGUUAAAAUAUAUAAUCAAUUAAUGUAUAGAUAGAGUAUUCAAUAGAGUAUAAAAACCAAACAAAUGUGAUUUCUUUGAAUUCUUCAGGAUAAUUAGGCCUUUGUAGAAUGUUAUUUCUAGUUAAUAGUCCAACAUUAGAUCAUUAAACGCUCUUAUACAACAUAGUUUUUCCUUUCUAAUGAUUAUUAUUCUAUGAUCCAGGUGUUCCUGGAGUUCAUGGUCUUUCUGGAGCUCCAGGUCAGUUUCUUCCAGCCAAGAUUUAUCUAGAGCAUUACAGUGACUAUAGAAACAGCAUCUGAGUUCAAUUAAAUUUACCAACUGAAACUACUGUUUGACUGAAGCCUUUGUAUUUUAAAUGAGCCAUUUUGUCAAACGUCAACUAGGUAUCCAGGGCUUCCGUGGCGAGGCAGGGGAACCUGGACCUAAAGGUUGGUCACGUGGACCUUCUUCAGUGGAAAAACACAUGGAAAUUCAUUCAGUUACAUCCAAUAAUGUCACUAACUUUGCCCCUCAGGUGACAGAGGCCCUGCCGGACUUCAAGGACUUAAAGGUUUGUACUACGUCUGUUUGUACUACGUCUUGUU
ensembl:lncRNA